rnacentral:rRNA from 1 species
UAGUCCACGCCGUAAACGAUGAAUGCUAGCUGUCGGGGCCUUAGGCUUCGGUGGCGCCGCUAACGCAUUAAGCAUUCCGCCUGGGGAGUACGGUCGCAAGAUUAAAACUCAAAGGAAUUGACGGGGACCCGCACAAGCGGUGGAGCAUGUGGUUUAAUUCGAGGCAACGCGAAGAACCUUACCAGCCCUUGACAUACUGGUCGCGGAUUUCAGAGAUGAUUUCCUUCAGCUUGGCUGGACCAUGUACAGGUGCUGCACGGCUGUUGUCAGCUCGUGUCGUGAGAUGUUGGGUUAAGUCCCGCAACGAGCGCAACCCUCAUCCUUAGUUGCCAUCACGUUUGGGUGGGCACUCUAGGGAAACUGCCGGUGCUAAGCCGGAGGAAGGCGGGGAUGACGUCAAGUCCUCAUGGCCCUUACGCGUAGGGCUACACACGUGCUACAAUGGCAGUGACAAUGGGAUAAUCCCCAAAAGCUGUCUCAGUUCGGAUUGUCGGCUGCAAC